UGUACACAUCCCUUUCUCCCUGUUACUUCAGUGUGUGUUGUUUAGGACACUAUCUCUGGUGCAGGCCUGCCCCGCCCUGUCCCCGUGGUAUCUUCCGCAUUUUUUUCUUCUUGGAGAGGGAGGGGCGCUGGUCGCAUCUCUCCCUCUGUCUCCUUACGGGGUGUGUAUGUGUGUUUGUGUGGUGAUCGUUAUUUCCUUUACCUGUUCUGUUCUCUGUUUCGGGGUGGGGAGGAGGCGCUCUCCUCGUGGCUGUUUCUGUGUGUAAGUGUGCGCGCACGCCUCCCAAACACCAACAACGUCCUCCACCCUCUCUCUGAAAAGGGUGCAGCUGUGGAAGAGAGCACACGAGGCGAUACAACGGCAGACGUACGCACACAUACACACGCAUACGCAUACGAGUACGCUGGUAGACGCAGAGUGAAAUCGCGGUUGGCCAUUAUAAGCGCACGCGCACAUGUGUAAGUGCGCACGAAGCAGCGCUUCUACGCACACAUAAGCACCAAUACAUACAUAUAUAUAUAUAUAUCGGUAUAGCUAUAUGUAUGUAUGUAUCAGUAUCGCCACUCCCCCCCCCUCUCCCACCCCGCAUUGCGCUUCUGCACGUUUUUUUUUGUUUUUGUGUUUUUUUUUGUCUUCUCUUUGUUAUAACUACGAAGACGCACGCUCACGAAACGAGCGAGCGCACGGACAACAAGCGGUAACGUGCGUAGCCCUUCUCCUCCACCCCCUCCCCCUCGUUUCUUCGUGUGGCAUUCGUGUAGUGGUCAUCCCCUCUGUCUCCCCCCCCCUCCUCUAACUCACUCGCUCACGCAUCUGUUUUAUUUUCCUUCUGUACCCAUCUAGUUGGAGCUGCUGACCGUGUACUCGGAAGACAACUCUCUCUAUAUAUAGCUUACGCACACACGCACACGCACACAGAGACACACACCGGCACGCAAAGCAAAAGCAAGCGACCGCAUCUCCGCGUCCAAGCAUCUGCACGGCCAUCAUCACCGUCUCCACUUCGGCUUUUCCCUUCGCUCUUGACUGCCUCGCAUUCUCCACGCGUCUCUGCUGCCUGCCGCUUCUUCGUUGUGUGUGUAUGUGUGUGUGUGUGUAGAGCUGUACCUCGACUUAUACACCCAUCGAGGACGGUUCUUCUCUCCCUCUUUCUACCUUUAGCUACGCUCAUUCGAACAUCCACGUGCGCGCCCAUUCACAGAGACAAGCACCGCUCCAACUCAAACCCAAGUGCACACGCAUAUAUACGGGGAGAGUGAGACGAGACGCCGCGCCGACAAGCCUCGCUCCCAUCAACAAACCGACGACCUCCGUCCCUCUCCUUUCAUACUAUUUCUCUCGCUCUCGCCUCUUCCGUGCUGAGCUCGCUCAACUGCGUGCCUGGCCUCUUUUCGCGCUCCCACACGCGCGCGCACAGCGAGAGAGAACGCGAUAAAGGCGAAGCCUGUUCACUUAGUUCUUUUCUCUCUCUGGGUUUGUGUUGGUGUGUGUAUGUGUGUGCGGUUUGAACUUGUCCACUCAUAUCGACCUCUUUCUCCCUGUCUGUCCCUCCCGGCUCGGCCUGAGACUACCCUCCACCUCCACCUCCACCUCCACCUCCACACCCCCUUCUCUGCCAGCGUGUCCCUACUCGCUGGUCUGCCCUGUCUUUCAGGCAGUGCACACGUUUCGUGGGGCGGGCGCCGUUUCUUCGCUUUAGGGAAGAGGAGGAGUACUCUGUCGAUACCGCCUACACACGGACGGCAAGCGGUCCUCAUCCACAGCACAGCAGAGGGCAAGAGCGACGAAAGACGACGUGUGUCCUCCGUGUCUUUCCCCUUUUUGUUGCUGUUGGUUCGUCGCUCUUCUUGUCGUGUUUGAGCCUCCCCAUCCCAACCCUCCCCCCCCCCCCAAUCCCUCCUUUGCUCUACUCUGUGUGUAUGUACGCAAACCCCUCCCCCUUCCCUUUUUUUAUAGUGUUCGCCUCAUUCUCGCCCUUUAGCUUUUCGUUUUUUUUGUUUACGUGUUAUCUCUACGUCUUUCUCCUUCUCUCCUCUCCGUCUGUCUGUCUGUCUGUCGGUGUGUAUGUGUGUGUGUGUUUCCGCUCUCAUGUGUUUUGCCGGGCACCUCACCCCCACCUCUAUUGCCAACUCACCAUCCGCCAUUCCCUCAACCCUACUAUCCUGCUUCUCCGCCCUCCGGCCCACGUCGUCGUCAUCGUUAUCCACCGCUGUCUCCCUGUCGUUCGCACGUGUCAUCGCAAGCGCCACCGGUUAGGCACGCCGCGCCGGAUCGCAUUUCACACAGCAGCGCGUACACUUCGGCUGCUACGGCCACAACGUCUAUAGCGGCCAACAGCAGUGGUACCAGUAAUCGCAGACAGCUGAGCGAGCUGAGCAGCGGUCUUCGGGGUAAGCGAAACCACAACGGCAUCCGCGGUCACAAAGAAGCCGCAGCAGCACGAUCAGGAGCACCAGGCUGGGCAAGAGACACCUCCCUACUCAGUCACCACCCUGUGCCCCAUCGUCCCAGGAAAGCUCUACAGAUCGAGUGAUCACACAACGCAAUACAGACAGCCCCUUCUCCCUUCUCAGGCGCCUCAGAAGUACCAGCAGCAGGAGCAACGGGAGCGGGCGCCGCUUCCUUCCGCCAACUACGAUCCUCUUGUUGUACCUUCGCCAGAACCGUCGCUUUCUCGUUUUGAUUACCCUAUCCAAUUGCCGCCGUGCUACUGCAGCCCCUCUUCCGUGCUUGUCACCGCAGCACCGCCACCAUCUCCUUCUCCGCUCUUGCAGGAGACCCAACAGCUCCGCCACGUAGUACGCCGUCGUGGAGUUGCCACGGUCGCCACACAAGUCGUCAUGGAGCCCGGCACCCACCCGCAACCUCACCCGAGCGCCUCCUCCUCUUCCCCCUAUUCUCAGUCGACGUCGUCGUCGCAGCAGUACCUGCAAAUCCGUACGGACACGACCGUGGUGUCUUCCAUCAACAGUUCCUCCGCCGCAGACCAGUCCAGCAAGUCCGCCUCGGCAGCCGUCGCUGCGUCGAGCAGUGGGCCGUCAUAUGAAGGUCUAUGCAUGGCUGUUCCGCACUCGCCGGUAACGGCGCCUGUCCACCAGCCGUACACCACGCGGGCGCAGCAGAGCCAAGCGCCACACCACCGCACCUCCCCUAAGAGUAGGUCCUCGCCGCAUCGCUGUGCCGUGUCGCGCACGAGCAUGACCUGCUCCUCCGUUGGCGACGCCGACAAUCUGGGCUUGCACCGACGGCACAACAACCCGCGCGAGGCCUACGGAGGUCAGUGCCAGAAUUCGCUUGGACACCAGUUACAGCAGCAACACAACCACCACCAAGCCGACGCGCUUCCGCAGCCGCUCGAGCGGCGCAGCAGCGACGUCGUGGGCGCCGUCUCGCGCAGCCUCAACAUGCACAACGAUCCUGAGCUGGGGGGACUACCGCCGAUGCACUGCGGCAAUGAGGGCGAGGACGAGGUGGUGGGGCGCGCCGGCGGGGCCGUGGGAACGGCCGGACACGCCACGACACUCUAUUCCAAAGGCUUCCUGAUUGCAACCGCCUCCGCGAAGGAUGCUUCGGCGUCGCGCGGCAACGACGGCGGCGGUACAUACAUCCCGCCGCACUUGCACGAUGGCAAAGAGCAACAGACGCCACGCGAAGAUGGCGAGGCAAGUCUCAGCCAGGCGAGUCAGUCACGCAGCCCGCUCGCGAGCACUUCCACUGGCGUCUCUCAUCGCCUGCUGACGGCGGACGAAAUCAACGAGCGGCGUCGCGCGUCGUGGGGUGCGAGCCGCUCGGUGUCCCAGGUACACUCCGUCGUGGCCGGCCCGGCCGCCGGCGACAACGCGGGAGGUCAUAAAAAGGCCGGGAAUGCGCUGACCAGCGUCCAAAGCACCCGCAACAACCUCAGCACCGCAAGCGGCGUUAGCAAAGGCAGCCGGCCAGCCCACCGACAGCUGACCAAGGAGGAGGCCGACCAACUGAUUGCUCACCGCCAACAACAGCGGACCGCAGAAGCCGUGCCUGUCGCAGCAGCAGCGAAAGACGUACCUGCGCAGCAGCAGCAGCAGCAGCAGCACGGGCUGUCAUCAUUGCUGGCGAAUACCCCCAACAACAACCAGUCUGGAAUCUUGCACUCGGCGCCGCCGGACAGCGCAAAGCCGUGGCUCCUCUCUGGGGAUGGUACGCAGGCGAACUACUUCCCUCCAGAACCCGCCUCUACGCCGCCGGUGGCCAGCACCAGCACCGUGGGCGACGGCGGCAACACGUCUACGAAGCCCAUGGCGUUCGAGUGGCUGCGAGGGGCCAGCGCCGGUGAUACUGGCGGUGUCGGUGGUGGUGCUAAUGGAGCAGGCCUCUUCUCAGAGUCGACGGUUCAUUCAUGGCCUGGCGUGAAUGGGUGGCGUGACAGCAACCUGAUUGGCAGCAGCGUUAACGGCGGCAACGUGAACACUGCCAUGGCUGCAUUUCUUGGUGCGGCAGGGGGCGCUGCCGGAGAUGGUGGCUCUAACGGUAACUUCAACGCCUCUGCAGCCGCCUUGGCAAGGGCAGGCCAAACACCAGGCGGCACAUCCACUGCCGCCUUUACAUGGCUGCCCCACACCUCAAACUGGUCCCCGCGCAAUCAACAGCAACAGCAGCAGCAGCAGCAGCAGGCGCUUUUCUCCUUCGUGCCUGCUACACCGCCGCAAGUGUGUGCCGUCAGCGGCGGCACCAACCCCAACACCUGGGGCUACAGCAACACCGCGAUGGGCUUCACUGGUGGCAGCCUGCGCAGUGGCUCGCUCACCUUUCUUUCUUCUCCCCCCACGCCGGCGGCGCUACAGGGCGUGUCGCAAGAACGAAUCGAAGAGUGCAUCCGGCAAUGUGAUGGGCAGCUGGAGCAACUCCGACACGAGCGAGAGCAGCUGGUGCAAGAACUUCAGAGACGCCUGUACGCUUCGGCAGACGGCGAAAAGCAGCAGCAGCAGCAGCAACAGCAACAGCAACACAACCACGCCGACGCUGCAAGUUGGCCCGGCGCACUCGGCCCCCACGCCGGCACAAUCCCAAGCAGCUUAAUGGACACGAUCACGGCAGAGCCGUCGAUGCUGCCACGCGGGACCGCCACUUCGGGGACGGGUGCCAUCGGUGGCGGCGGCAGCGCCGUUCGGCAGCGUCCCCUCUGGCCGUUCUUUGGCGACCUCAUCGUGGACGGGAAUGGCGUGGCGAAGACCUUGCCGCGCGGCCCCGUCGGCACACGUGAGCUCCCUAGUCCGUACAUGGAACCUACCGUGGAAGUCGAUAGCGCGGAAUGGGCGGGGCGUGCGGCCACGGCGGCAGCAAGCCAUCAGCGGCCGGGCAGUAGCGGUAGCGCGACGGUUGUAGGGCCAGCACACCAGGCGGCAGCCAGCACCGGUGCGGUUGGCAGAAGCGUUGGCAACUGGACCGCCGGUGAGCGCUCUGGCGGUCGUGGCCGUCGUCGUGCAGAGACUGGCAACCAACGGAACAAUAAUGACGGCAACAAUAACGGCGCGUCGUCCUCGGCCGGGGCCAGGGCGACGACGUUCAAUGCCGGAGGUGGUGGGCACAGCAACAGCAACCGCUGCAGCCACGACAACACGCCGCAGGAGCAGAAGUACCUUCAGACGGACCCGUUCAGCAUGUACAUGCACAACAAGAAGAUCGCUACCGCCGGCGUCCCCACGGCGCAGGGCAGCAGCAAGGCCGCUGCUGCGUGAUAAUGCGCAGCAGAGGACGGGCAUGGCAAAAGACCGACGUGCCGUGUGUGUAUGAGUGUGUGGAAGGGCUCCUACCUACUCACCCCUCCCCCUCUCCCGUAGUCUUCCUAUCGUGCGAGCGCUGCUGUGUCGGGGCUCCUCUCAUAUCUAUACACAUAUAUACGUACACAGCUAAUAAGAUUUCUUCGUGUGCACGCUCUCUUCAUCCCCAUCCUUUUUUUUUCGUAGCGAUACACUGAACUGGCGGCGUCUUCCUGUGCCCCACGUCGUCGCCAGAGUCUCCUAUCAGCGUCUCACGUACUCCGCCUCUCCCCUGUGUGCCUGCAACAGAUAAGAGGAGGAGGAGAAGCCACACCAAAGCCGAUGUUUCCCUCGUUCAUCCUAUAAGCCCUCCCCACCCACCCCGUUCUCUUACAAGCACGCGCAUAGGGGCACACACCCACACACACAAUCACGUAGAGAGGGUGUAUACCAAGUGGCUCCGUCUCGGUGCCCUUGUGCGUGUGUGCCUGUGUGUGAGUGUGUGUGUGUGUGUGUGCUCCCUUAUCUUUUUACUCUCCCUCCUCUCUUUCCGUAUGUUAUCGGGCACGCCUGCUUAACGACGCGUGGGCAGCCUUCUUGAAUUUUCCAUUGUGGGUUUGCCUUGUGUGUGUGUGUAUGUGUGGUGUAACGUUUCCCCGCAUCCUCCCCCCCCCCCCUUCUCUCCCUGUCUCUCAUCAGGAGUGCCGAUGGGGCCACACGGGCUAUGUUUUGCCCCUCCCCCUAUGUCUCUGUCUGUCUGCUUGGGUGUUUGUGCGUCACCGCUCGUGUAUGCCCCGCUCCACCACCUCCUGCUUGAGAGGGCACCGUCUAUCCAUGCGUGCAUACAGUUAUAUGUACAUCCAUACAUAUAUAUACAUAUCUACGCCUAUAUAUAUAUAUGUAUGUAUAGGAAAUGGCCUACACUGACACGCACGGCCUCCACUACUCUCUAUUUCUCUCGCCGUCGCCACUCACGACAGCUGCCAAAGUGGUGGUGGUGGUCCCACUCCUGUUGAGCUUUUUCGUUUUUCAUGUUUGCCGAAAGCGUAUGUGUGCGUAUGUGUCUGUCUGUUAUGUGUGAAAAAAAAAAGCACACACACACACACAACUGCGCGAGCUUAGAGCGUGCCGCGAGACGCGUCGAUGGCAGUCGUGCGAGGGUCGGGCGAAGCGGAUCACAAGCGAUGCCGCGCGCAUGAAGGAGGUGAGCGGUGCCGGGCCGGAGGCAGGGGGUGGUAAGGCUGCGUGCACCGACGCCACACGGGUACCAAUGAAUAGCACUGGAACUUGCUCCUCCCCUUCCCCCCCCUCUUUUGUUUAUGCCUUUGUGCAG
rnacentral:misc_RNA from 1 species